AGUGAACGCUGGCGGUAGGCCUAACACAUGCAAGUCGAACGGCAGCACAGUAAGAGCUUGCUCUUACGGGUGGCGAGUGGCGGACGGGUGGGGAAUACAUCGGAAUCUACUUUUUCGUGGGGGAUAACGUAGGGAAACUUACGCUAAUACCGCAUACGACCUACGGGUGAAAGCAGGGGAUCUUCGGACCUUGCGCGAUUGAAUGAGCCGAUGUCGGAUUAGCUAGUUGGCGGGGUAAAGGCCCACCAAGGCGACGAUCCGUAGCUGAUCUGAGAGGAUGAUCAGCCACACUGGAACUGAGACACGGUCCAGACUCCUACGGGAGGCAGCAGUGGGGAAUAUUGGACAAUGGGCGCAAGCCUGAUCCAGCCAUACCGCGUGGGUGAAGAAGGCCUUCGGGUUGUAAAGCCCUUUUGUUGGGAAAGAAAAGCAGCAGGUUAAUACCCCGCUGUUCUGACGGUACCCAAAGAAUAAGCACCGGCUAACUUCGUG
rnacentral:rRNA from 1 species